rnacentral:rRNA from 1 species
GGGUCAGUAGGUUGGUCGUGCCACCGGUACGUACUGGUCUCACUGAUUCCUCCUUCCUGAAGAACCGUAAUGCCAUUAAUUUGGUGUUGCGGGGAAACAGGACUGUUACUUUGAAAAAAUUAGAGUGUUCAAAGCAAGCUAACGCUUGAAUACAUUAGCAUGGAAUAAUGAAAUAGGACGAUCGAUCCUGUUUUGUUGGUUUCUAGGAUUGACGUA